rnacentral:misc_RNA from 1 species
AUCAACCAUCAAGCAUGGCUUGUCGUUGGACUCUUGUUGCUGUAACACGCGACAAGUCCGAAAGAUAAUGAACGGUGUCAUGGUGGCCCUAAAUGCAACGAGCUUUUUACAGCACGCAUCUAGUGGUUAGCAGGCCCGGUCUUAACCCUUAAUUUUUCAAGGUUGACCUCGGAUCAGGUAGGAAUACCCGCUGAACUUAA